UGUUUAGAAGAGAUGCAUUUAUUAGAUAAAAACCAAUGCAUGCUUUUAUAGUAUGAAUGUUGGUGAUUUACAAUAACUUAGCAAAUCGCAUAGUGUAAACAGGCGAUAAAUCAUUCAAGUUUCUGACCUAUCAGCUUUCGACGGUAUGGUAUUGGCUUACCGUGGCAGUGACGGUUAACGGGGGAUUAGGGUUCGAUUCCGGAGAGGGAGCCUGAGAAACGGCUACCACAUCUAAGGAAGGCAGCAGGCGCGCAAAUUACCCAAUUCUAACAGCAUAAGAGAGGUAGUGACAAGAAAUAACAGUACAAGGCAGUUAAAAUGCUUUGUAAUUGGAAUGAUGGAAAUUUAAACACUUUUUAGAGUAUCAAUUGGAGGGCAAGUCUGGUGCCAGCAGCCGCGGUAAUUCCAGCUCCAAUAGCGUAUAUUAAAAUUGUUGCAGUUAAAAAGCUCGUAGUUGAAUUUCUGUUAAAAAUAACCGGUCUGCUUUUAAUAAAAGUAGUAUCUUGGUGUGUUUUUAGCAAUAAUGUCCUUUGAAAUGUUUUUUACUUUAUUGUAAUAAAUUAUAUUCAGGAUUUUUACUUUGAGAAAAUUAGAGUGUUUCUAGCAGGCUAAUGCUUUGAAUACUGCAGCAUGGAAUAAUAAG
rnacentral:rRNA from 2 species